GACGAACGCUGGCGGCGUGCUUAACACAUGCAAGUCGAACGGAAAGGCCCUGCUUUUGUGGGGUGCUCGAGUGGCGAACGGGUGAGUAACACGUGAGUAACCUGCCCUUGACUUUGGGAUAACUUCAGGAAACUGGGGCUAAUACCGGAUAGGAGCUCCUGCUGCAUGGUGGGGGUUGGAAAGUUUCGGCGGUUGGGGAUGGACUCGCGGCUUAUCAGCUUGUUGGUGGGGUAGUGGCUUACCAAGGCCUUGACGGGUAGCCGGCCUGAGAGGGUGACCGGCCACAUUGGGACUGGGAUACGGCCCAGACUCCUACGGGAGGCAGCAGUGGGGAAUAUUGCACAAUGGGCGGAAGCCUGAUGCAGCAACGCCGCGUGCGGGAUGACGGCCUUCGGGUUGUAAACCGCUUUCGCCUGUGACGAAGCGUGAGUGACGGUAAUGGGUAAAGAAGCACCGGCUAACUACGU
rnacentral:rRNA from 1 species